rnacentral:rRNA from 1 species
UACGUAGGGAGCAAGCGUUGUUCGGAUUUACUGGGCGUAAAGGGCGCGUAGGCGGCAAAUUAAGUCAGCUGUGAAAUCUCCGAGCUUAACUCGGAACUGUCAGCUGAUACUGAUCUGCUAGAGUGCGGAAGGGGCAAUCGGAAUUCUUGGUGUAGCGGUGAAAUGCGUAGAUAUCAAGAGGAACACCGGUGGCGAAGGCGGGUCUCUGGGCCGAUACUGACGCUGAGGAGCGAAAGCGUGGGGAGCGAACAGG